UACAGAGGAGCCAAGCGUUGUCCGGAUUGACUGGGCGUAAAGCGCACGCAGGCGGAGGCGCGCGUGGGGUGUGAAAUCUGGCCGCUUAACGGCCAGGCGCCAUCCCAUACGGCGCCUCUGGAGGGCUGCAGAGGUCGAUGGAAUUGCCGGUGUAGUGGUGAAAUGCGUAGAGAUCGGCAGGAACCCCCAGGGGGAAACCAGUCGACUGGGCAGCACCUGACGCUGAGGUGCGAGAGCGUGGGGAGCGAACCGG
rnacentral:rRNA from 1 species